rnacentral:sRNA from 12 species
UGAUUUGCUCGUAGGGCGCGAGCAAGGUAAACGAAAAAAAGCCCAUCGAGA